rnacentral:rRNA from 1 species
AUGUGGGAGGAAUGCUUGCCUCAUAUUGAAUUUGCUUAUAAUCGUUCAUUGCAUUCUACUACUAAGAUGUGCCCUUUUGAAGUUGUGUAUGGUUUCCUACCUCGUGCACCUAUUGAUUUGUUGCCUCUUCCAUCUUCGGAGAAGGUUAAUUUUGAUGCUAAACAACGUGCUGAAUUGAUUUUAAAAAUGCAUGAGUUAACUAAGGAAAACAUUGAGCGCAUGAAUGCUAAAUAUAAACUUGCUGGAGAUAAGGGUAGAAAACAUGUUGUGUUUGAACCUGGAGAUCUUGUUUGGUUACAUUUGCGUAAGGAUAGAUUUCCUGAUUUGCGCAAAUCAAAGUUAAUGCCACGUGCUGAUGGUCCCUUUAAGGUGUUAGAGAAAAUAAAUGAUAAUGCAUAUAAACUUGAGCUGCCUGCAGAUUUUGGGGUUAGUCCCACUUUUAACAUUGCAGAUUUGAAGCCUUAUUUGGGUGAGGAAGAUGAACUUCCGUCGAGGACGACUUCAUUUCAAGAAGGGGAGGAUGAUGAGGACAUCAAUACAAUUGUUACACCCACAGCCCCUGCUGCUAUACAUACUGGACCAAUUACUAGAGCUCGUGCACGCCAACUAAAUUACCAGGAAACAGACCCUCGUGGUCAGGUUGAUCGUGCUCCGGCGUGGUCAAUAACCUCUCGGAGUUGGUUUAGCGAUUGCUAA